GAUGAACGCUGGCGGCGUGCCUAAUACAUGCAAGUCGAGCGAACGGACGAGAAGCUUGCUUCUCUGAUGUUAGCGGCGGACGGGUGAGUAACACGUGGAUAACCUACCUAUAAGACUUGGAUAACUUCGGGAAACCGUAGCUAAUACCGGAUAAUAUUUUGAACCGCAUGGUUCAAAAGUGAAAGACGGUCUUGCUGUCACUUAUAGAUGGAUCCGCGCUGCAUUAGCUAGUUGGUAAGGUAACGGCUUACCAAGGCAACGAUGCAUAGCCGACCUGAGAGGGUGAUCGGCCACACUGGAACUGAGACACGGUCCAGACUCCUACGGGAGGCAGCAGUAGGGAAUAUUCCGCAAUGGGCGAAAGCCUGACGGAGCAACGCCGCGUGAGUGAUGAAGGUCUUCGGAUCGUAAAACUCUGUUAUUAGGGAAGAAAAUAUGUGUAAGUAACUGUGCACAUCUUGACGGUACCUAAUCAGAAAGCAACGGCUAACUACGUG
rnacentral:rRNA from 1 species